CAUCAGAGAUGUUUUGGCAGCACAAGGGGGACCUACACAAUAUAAGGCAGGUGGUUUAAAUGUUGUGGAUGAUUAGUGUGUAUAUAUAGCACUCUAUAUAUAUUUAAUGUAGAGAGCCCUGCAUUCUAGCUCAAAUUCCCAUUAUUCACCUAGUGCCCAGUACAAGCCUAAAUGUAUACUUUGCAUACAGGUAUACCAGCACUCACAGUCUUCUUAUAGCGCUACGUUAUUC